UACCUUUUUCUGCAGUCCCUGGUGAUCCAGUGGUCUCUUCUCCUUCCUUCUUCCCUGGUGGUCCGGUGGCUCUUGCUGUCCUGUCUGCCGCUUCCCCUCCGCCGCAGGCAGACCAUGCAGACAUAGUCUUGCGAGCUCUGGCACGUGUAACAAGGAUUUCUCCCCAUUUCAGAGGAGCCCUGAACCCAGCGGCACAUAUUGCAAGCCGCUGGGCACCCUCUUGUUGUCAGGCCCUUGACUGUCUCCCGGCGUGGGUCAGUGCGACCCACCAGAAAUCAGCCUGUGACCCACAGUUUGGGAAACCGUGGUCUAUCACAUAAAAUUCUGAUUAAUAAAACACUGAAGUUAAGGCUGUAAUUUAACAAAAUAGGUAAGAAGUCAAGGGGGGUAAAUACUUUUGCAAGGCACUGUAUGUAAAGAAAGCCCUUCUUUUCCUGAAAAACCCCCAAUAUAUAACCUGUAUGGGAAUAGUAAAUGAGAGAGAGGAAAAUUACAGCUAAACACAAACACCACAAAAAUGUUAAACCCUUAAGGACACAACUUCAGAAAUUAAAGGGGAAUCAUGACGGAAUGUUUCCGUCAUGUGUCCUUAAGGGGUUAAGACAGCCCUGAGUCCUUAACGUACAACAUGGCCAAAACAAUCCAAUCCUGAAGGGGUAAAUAAAAAGGGAAUGUUUAUCAGUAGGUCGUCAUUGGAGCCAUCAGUGAAAUGAUUCUAUUUAAAUGUGUUUUAAGGUUUAGAUGUUCAUAUGCUUUAAAAUAUAUCGCAUGUCACUUAAGUCGGAAUAGCCCCAUACCGAACAAGGCGUGCGAGGCCUUUCGGACUGCAGAAUAUGGACAUUGUUAAUACUAUUUACAAUUAAAACCAGAGAGAGAGAGAUACAGAGUUUUCUUUAUACAUUCUGUUCCUAUAUGUAAUAAAAUGCAAAUUUAUUAUUAACCCCUUAAGGACACAUGACAUGUGUGACAUGUCAUGAUUCCCUUUUAUUCCAGAAGUUUGGUCCUCAAGGGGUUAAAGGGGUUAUAGUGUACCCAAAACCAUAUAUAUUAUCACCUGUAACACCUGUAAUAAUACAUUUGCAUUUUAUUAGAUAUAGCUGUUCUCAAUAUAUAUCUCAUAAAGUGCAAUAAUAUACCAUACAAUUCUUAAAGUGAAUACCAUCAAAUGUGAUCGAUAAUACAGUGCUUCAAAAGACCCAAAGCAAAACUGGUAUCAUCUAAAAGAGUAUGAGAAUUAUUGCUAUGUCAGUUGUCAG